rnacentral:rRNA from 1 species
CUACGGGAGGCAGCAGUGGGGAAUAUUGGACAAUGGGGGGAACCCUGAUCCAGCCAUGCCGCGUGUGUGAAGAAGGCCUUAUGGUUGUAAAGCACUUUAAGCGAGGAGGAGGCUCCCGUAGCUAAUAUCUACGGAGAGUGGACGUACUCGCAGAGUAGCCCUAAUCCC